rnacentral:rRNA from 1 species
CAGCAGCCACGGUAAUACGGAGGGAGCUAGCGUUAUUCGGAAUUACUGGGCGUAAAGCGCACGUAGGCGGCUUUGUAAGUUAGAGGUGAAAGCCUGGAGCUCAACUCCAGAAUUGCCUUUAAGACUGCAUCGCUUGAAUCCAGGAGAGGUAAGUGGAAUUCCGAGUGUAGAGGUGAAAUUCGUAGAUAUUCGGGAGAACACCAGUGGCGAAGGCGGCUCACUGGACUGGUAUUGACGCUGAGGUGCGAAAGCGUGGGGAGCAAACAGGAUUAGAUACCCGCGUAGUCCCUGUCUCUUAUAA